AGAAAAACAAUUUUCAUAAUAUGAGUGAAAAUAGGGGAUUCCCAAGGGAGCAAAAUUCAAGGUCAAUAAAAAAAUAAAAAUCAGAAAACCUUUCACCUUUUAUUAUCUAGUUUCUCAAGCUCUUUACAGAUUCUGUUCUCAUGUGCUUCAACUUCCCUCGCAAUUCUAUUUUCAUCACUCUACGAGAAGAAAAAUGAUAUAUGAAAUAGAUAAUACAUAAAAUCAGAAUCAUGGAAGGAAAUAGACAAUAUAAAAAGCAUAUUCUACGAAGCUAGACACCUUGCGCUUCCUAUUGUAUUGUAUAUCAGCAUCAUUAUUCAAGGUUUGCCCAGCGGAAAACAUAUAUGAAUCUUCAGAUCAUAAAACCGGAUGGCAAAGAGACUGAGUAUUUCUCCCAUUUGU
rnacentral:lncRNA from 1 species